CUUUUUCUGCCAGAUUCGUUCGUUUUGUGCAAAAACGCGUCGAUUGAGCCUAAAUUCAGCGAAAUCGGUGAGGAGGGAGCUCUCCUUCAGAUUUACCCCAUUUUGUAACUUCCUGUGCGUUUCCACUGUAUUUGUGACGUUAUAAAUAAUAUUUUUCGUACUUUUAGUUUGCUGAAAACCAUGGCAACCGCUGAGUGAACCAGAGUGAACGUGUUGAGAUUUUGAAUGCGCUUACAAUCGUUCAGCAGAGAAUUAUAAAACGGUUGCAAAUUGUUGCGUUCUGCUGAACGCAGCCAUUAUAAUCAAGAAAAGAAGAGAAAAUUGAACGUCCGCAUAUCAAGACGGAGAUAAGAGUUCAGCAGCCUCGUGACUUCUCUUCACUUCUGGAUUCGAAACUUCCGGUGGCGAACUCACGGAUCUACUAGCGUUUGGAGAGGAUAUCGAAUCCAACCUAUUCGAAAGAUUUUUAUCAUUAAACUAUACACUUCCUUCCCGCCUGUCCAUUAAAGCAGCCGGGAGCUCUUAUUUACCUGUUUCCGGAGUUUGCGAGAUCCAAGGCCUCUCUCUGUUCGGGGCUAUUUGCCGGUACCAAUGAAUUGCAGUCCGGAUUUAAUUCCCUCCGCCGUUGUCGGCGGUGGUGUCGAUGUGCUACCUUGGAUCAUCGGAUUAUUGGGAAUUGUGCUUCUGUCUCUCAGUAGCCUCAUCAUGUACUCUGAAACUGUGUACGUGUUCGACAUUAGAGGUAAAAUAUGAUAACUAAAUUAGAAAGAUAAAGAGCUGGAGCGGCGUGCUUAUAGUUACGCGUUUUCAAUAGUUUACCAUCUUGACUUAUAAUGAUGGGAUAAUUAUGAAGAAUGAUCGA